UACAGAGGGUGCAAGCGUUGUUCGGAAUUAUUGGGCGUAAAGGGCGCGUAGGCGGUUCGGCAAGUCUCUAGUGAAAUCUCUGGGCUCAACUCAGAGUCUGCUGGGGGAAACUGCCGGGCUUGAGUGUGGGAGAGGAGAGUGGAAUUCCCGGUGUAGCGGUGAAAUGCGUAGAGAUCGGGGAGGAACACCCAGUGGCGAAGGCGGCCUUCUGGACCAGCACUGACACUCAAGCACGAAAGCGUGGGGAGCAAACAGG
rnacentral:rRNA from 1 species